rnacentral:rRNA from 1 species
AACGAACGCUGGCGGCAUGCCUAACACAUGCAAGUCGAACGAGACCUUCGGGUCUAGUGGCGCACGGGUGCGUAACGCGUGGGAACCUGCCCUUAGGUUCGGAAUAACUCCCCGAAAGGGGUGCUAAUACCGGAUAAUGUCUUCAGACCAAAGAUUUAUCGCCUUUGGAUGGGCCCGCGUUGGAUUAGCUAGUUGGUAGGGUAAAGGCCUACCAAGGCGACGAUCCAUAGCUGGUCUGAGAGGAUGAUCAGCCACACUGGGACUGAGACACGGCCCAGACUCCUACGGGAGGCAGCAGUGGGGAAUAUUGGACAAUGGGCGAAAGCCUGAUCCAGCAAUGCCGCGUGAGUGAUGAAGGCCUUAGGGUUGUAAAGCUCUUUUACCCGGGAUGAUAAUGACAGUACCGGGAGAAUAAGCUCCGGCUAACUCCGUG